GGGUUGUGAGGUUAAGCGACUAAGCGUACACGGUGGAUGCCCUGGCAGUCAGAGGCGAUGAAGGACGUGCUAAUCUGCGAUAAGCGUCGGUGAGGUGAUAUGAACCGUUAUAACCGGCGAUUUCCGAAUGGGGAAACCCAGUGUGUUUCGACACACUAUCAUUAACUGAAUCCAUAGGUUAAUGAGGCGAACCGGGGGAACUGAAACAUCUAAGUACCCCGAGGAAAAGAAAUCAACCGAGAUUCCCCCAGUAGCGGCGAGCGAACGGGGAGGAGCCCAGAGCCUGAAUCAGUGUGUGUGUUAGUGGAAGCGUCUGGAAAGGCGCGCGAUACAGGGUGACAGCCCCGUACACAAAAAUGCACAUGCUGUGAGCUCGAUGAGUAGGGCGGGACACGUGGUAUCCUGUCUGAAUAUGGGGGGACCAUCCUCCAAGGCUAAAUACUCCUGACUGACCGAUAGUGAACCAGUACCGUGAGGGAAAGGCGAAAAGAACCCCGGCGAGGGGAGUGAAAAAGAACCUGAAACCGUGUACGUACAAGCAGUGGGAGCCUCUUUUAUGGGGUGACUGCGUACCUUUUGUAUAAUGGGUCAGCGACUUAUAUUCUGUAGCAAGGUUAACCGAAUAGGGGAGCCGAAGGGAAACCGAGUCUUAACUGGGCGUUAAGUUGCAGGGUAUAGACCCGAAACCCGGUGAUCUAGCCAUGGGCAGGUUGAAGGUUGGGUAACACUAACUGGAGGACCGAACCGACUAAUGUUGAAAAAUUAGCGGAUGACUUGUGGCUGGGGGUGAAAGGCCAAUCAAACCGGGAGAUAGCUGGUUCUCCCCGAAAGCUAUUUAGGUAGCGCCUCGUGAAUUCAUCUCCGGGGGUAGAGCACUGUUUCGGCAAGGGGGUCAUCCCGACUUACCAACCCGAUGCAAACUGCGAAUACCGGAGAAUGUUAUCACGGGAGACACACGGCGGGUGCUAACGUCCGUCGUGAAGAGGGAAACAACCCAGACCGCCAGCUAAGGUCCCAAAGUCAUGGUUAAGUGGGAAACGAUGUGGGAAGGCCCAGACAGCCAGGAUGUUGGCUUAGAAGCAGCCAUCAUUUAAAGAAAGCGUAAUAGCUCACUGGUCGAGUCGGCCUGCGCGGAAGAUGUAACGGGGCUAAACCAUGCACCGAAGCUGCGGCAGCGACACUAUGUGUUGUUGGGUAGGGGAGCGUUCUGUAAGCCUGUGAAGGUGGCCUGUGAGGGUUGCUGGAGGUAUCAGAAGUGCGAAUGCUGACAUAAGUAACGAUAAAGCGGGUGAAAAGCCCGCUCGCCGGAAGACCAAGGGUUCCUGUCCAACGUUAAUCGGGGCAGGGUGAGUCGACCCCUAAGGCGAGGCCGAAAGGCGUAGUCGAUGGGAAACAGGUUAAUAUUCCUGUACUUGGUGUUACUGCGAAGGGGGGACGGAGAAGGCUAUGUUGGCCGGGCGACGGUUGUCCCGGUUUAAGCGUGUAGGCUGGUUUUCCAGGCAAAUCCGGAAAAUCAAGGCUGAGGCGUGAUGACGAGGCACUACGGUGCUGAAGCGACAAAUGCCCUGCUUCCAGGAAAAGCCUCUAAGCAUCAGGUAACAUUAAAUCGUACCCCAAACCGACACAGGUGGUCAGGUAGAGAAUACCAAGGCGCUUGAGAGAACUCGGGUGAAGGAACUAGGCAAAAUGGUGCCGUAACUUCGGGAGAAGGCACGCUGAUAUGUAGGUGAAGCGACUUGCUCGUGGAGCUGAAAUCAGUCGAAGAUACCAGCUGGCUGCAACUGUUUAUUAAAAACACAGCACUGUGCAAACACGAAAGUGGACGUAUACGGUGUGACGCCUGCCCGGUGCCGGAAGGUUAAUUGAUGGGGUUAGCGGCAACGCGAAGCUCUUGAUCGAAGCCCCGGUAAACGGCGGCCGUAACUAUAACGGUCCUAAGGUAGCGAAAUUCCUUGUCGGGUAAGUUCCGACCUGCACGAAUGGCGUAAUGAUGGCCAGGCUGUCUCCACCCGAGACUCAGUGAAAUUGAACUCGCUGUGAAGAUGCAGUGUACCCGCGGCAAGACGGAAAGACCCCGUGAACCUUUACUAUAGCUUGACACUGAACAUUGAGCCUUGAUGUGUAGGAUAGGUGGGAGGCUUUGAAGUGUGGACGCCAGUCUGCAUGGAGCCGACCUUGAAAUACCACCCUUUAAUGUUUGAUGUUCUAACGUGGGCCCGUAAUCCGGGUUGCGGACAGUGUCUGGUGGGUAGUUUGACUGGGGCGGUCUCCUCCUAAAGAGUAACGGAGGAGCACGAAGGUUGGCUAAUCCUGGUCGGACAUCAGGAGGUUAGUGCAAUGGCAUAAGCCAGCUUGACUGCGAGCGUGACGGCGCGAGCAGGUGCGAAAGCAGGUCAUAGUGAUCCGGUGGUUCUGAAUGGAAGGGCCAUCGCUCAACGGAUAAAAGGUACUCCGGGGAUAACAGGCUGAUACCGCCCAAGAGUUCAUAUCGACGGCGGUGUUUGGCACCUCGAUGUCGGCUCAUCACAUCCUGGGGCUGAAGUAGGUCCCAAGGGUAUGGCUGUUCGCCAUUUAAAGUGGUACGCGAGCUGGGUUUAGAACGUCGUGAGACAGUUCGGUCCCUAUCUGCCGUGGGCGCUGGAGAACUGAGGGGGGCUGCUCCUAGUACGAGAGGACCGGAGUGGACGCAUCACUGGUGUUCGGGUUGUCAUGCCAAUGGCACUGCCCGGUAGCUAAAUGCGGAAGAGAUAAGUGCUGAAAGCAUCUAAGCACGAAACUUGCCCCGAGAUGAGUUCUCCCUGACCCUUUAAGGGUCCUGAAGGAACGUUGAAGACGACGACGUUGAUAGGCCGGGUGUGUAAGCGCAGCGAUGCGUUGAGCUAACCGGUACUAAUGAACCGUGAGGCUUAACCUUACAACGCCGAAG
rnacentral:rRNA from 1 species